GCCCCCCAGAGCUUGGUGAUGUCCCAGGACGGUCCUCCCAGGAAACAUUUUGAACAAGUUGAUGAAGUGCCUGAUGGACGUGGCUCUCGUCACGAAAUGAGUUUGGAUCCGAGAAGCCCUCUUCUUCAUCGGAAAACAGGACAAAGAUGAGCUGCGUGCCCAUAAUUCCACGUUUACGCUGAUUCCUCCAGUGCCUCAUCAGCAGCUACGUUCUGGAUGGCUAGCAUGUACCGAAGGCACAAAACCUCCAGAGUUGGCAGAGUCAAGUCCUGGCGUGCCCGAGGCUAUCCAGGGGAACACGCGGGACAGACAGCACCCUCAGCCUGUCCCCAUGACCCUCUGCUCCAGUCUGAGGGGCAGGACACCAUGAGACCUCUCAGACACAGAGUCCACCCUCGACAUGACCCGGAUGAAAGGCAGGAGUGUGUGCCCUGCUUUUGCCCUCGAAGCUCCCUAAAGGGGACCCAUCUCUGCAAGCCCACAGCCCUACCUGCAGCAUCCACAGCCUCAGAGAGCAGCGGGGCCCCUUAACCCUGAACCCCCUCCAAGAGCAUCAGGACAACAAGCCUUGAGCUGUGGAGACAAGAGAAUCAGUAUCCCUGGCCCAGGGAGGAUUCCAGGAGAGGACAGGGGCAGGAGUCCUGGCCCAGAGCCAGAACCAAGAGUCCAGCCAGAGGCGGCUAGAGCAUCGCCUCUUCACGCAAGUGUCUUGAAACUCAGCUUGAAGAUUUCAGCAAAUGUGUCUUACAGAGAAGAGAAGAGGGAGUCAGUCCAUCGGGAUUAAAAAUAUAGAGGCAGUGACGACACACACUCGGCUUCAGUUCUUAGGAGAGUUUUGGUUUUGAUUUUUUUUUUUUUGAGAAGAUUUUUUUUUUAAUGGAUCUACACUGUUAACUGAGACUCUGUUGAGAUUCACUGGUUUACUUAAAAACUUCUCAGGGAUGUCUGUAAAUUUCAGUGUUAUAUGUCAUGAAAACUGGUGUGGGCAGAUCUGUUGGUUGAAAUAAUUUCUACUGUUUCAAAUACUGAAGGCAGGAAUAAUUGGUUUAUACUGUGUUUUAAAUAAAAGUAUUACUGGUAAGUCCCCCAGGACAUUAAACCUUAAAAAUCAUU
rnacentral:lncRNA from 1 species